GUCUAGAUAGUCAAAUAUGAUAUUAAACUGCAAAUUUAAAGGUAAAUAAAAAUUUUUUAGAUU
rnacentral:tRNA from 1 species